rnacentral:rRNA from 1 species
AUUGAACGCUGGCGGCAGGCCUAACACAUGCAAGUCGAGCGGCAGCGGAAAGUAGCUUGCUACUUUGCCGGCGAGCGGCGGACGGGUGAGUAAUGUCUGGGAAACUGCCUGAUGGAGGGGGAUAACUACUGGAAACGGUAGCUAAUACCGCAUAACGUCGCAAGACCAAAGAGGGGGACCUUCGGGCCUCUUGCCAUCAGAUGUGCCCAGAUGGGAUUAGCUAGUAGGUGGGGUAACGGCUCACCUAGGCGACGAUCCCUAGCUGGUCUGAGAGGAUGACCAGCCACACUGGAACUGAGACACGGUCCAGACUCCUACGGGAGGCAGCAGUGGGGAAUAUUGCACAAUGGGCGCAAGCCUGAUGCAGCCAUGCCGCGUGUAUGAAGAAGGCCUUCGGGUUGUAAAGUACUUUCAGCGGGGAGGAAGGUGUUGAGGUUAAUAACCUCAGCAAUUGACGUUACCCGCAGAAGAAGCACCGGCUAACUCCGU